GCAGUAGGGAAUAUUGGGCAAUGGGCGAGAGCCUGACCCAGCCAUGCCGCGUGCAGGAAGAAGGCUUUCUGAGUCGUAAACUGCUUUUGACAGGGAAGAAUAAGCUUCACGUGUGGAGUGAUGACGGUACCUGCAGAAUAAGCACCGGCUAACUCCGUGCCAGCAGCCGCGGUAAUACGGAGGGUGCGAGCGUUGUCCGGAUUUAUUGGGUUUAAAGGGUGCGUAGGCGGCCCGUUAAGUCCGGGGUGAAAGCCCGUUGCUCAACAACGGAACUGCCCUGGAUACUGACGGGCUUGAGUACAGACGAGGUUGGCGGAAUGGACAGAGUAGCGGUGAAAUGCAUAGAUACUGUCCAGAACCCCGAUUGCGAAGGCAGCUGACUAGGCUGUUACUGACGCUGAGGCACGACAGCGUGGGGAGCGAACAGGAUUAGA
rnacentral:rRNA from 1 species